CUACCUUGUUGCUUUGGCGGGACCGCUCGGUCUCGAGCCGCUGGGGAUUCGUCCCAGGCGAGCGCCCGCCAGAGUUAAACCAAACUCUUGUUAUUUAACCGGUCGUCUGAGUUAAAAUUUUGAAUAAAUCAAAACUUUCAACAACGGAUCUCUUGGUUCUCGCAUCGAUGAAGAACGCAGCGAAAUGCGAUAAGUAAUGUGAAUUGCAGAAUUCAGUGAAUCAUCGAAUCUUUGAACGCACAUUGCGCCCCUUGGUAUUCCGAGGGGCAUGCCUGUUCGAGCGUCAUUACACCACUCAAGCUAUGCUUGGUAUUGGGCGUCGUCCUUAGUUGGGCGCGCCUUAAAGACCUCGGCGAGGCCACUCCGGCUUUAGGCGUAGUAGAAUUUAUUCGAACGUCUGUCAAAGGAGAGGAACUCUGCCGACUGAAACCUUUAUUUUUCUAGGUUGACCUCGGAUCAGGUAGGGAUACCCGCUGAACUUAAGCAUAUCA
rnacentral:rRNA from 1 species